GAUGAAGAACGUAGUGAAAUGCGAUAAGUAAUGUGAAUUGCAGAAUUCAGUGAAUCAUCGAAUCUUUGAACGCACCUUGCACCCUUUGGCAUUCCGAAGGGUAUGCUCGUUUGAGUGUCAUUGUACUCUCACACUUCUGAUCCUUUGGAUUGGGAGCGGUGGACUUGGGUGUUGCUGCUUUACUGUGGCUCACCUCAAAUGCAUUCGUGCAACUCUUGGUUGGACAUAGUACGGCGUGAUAAGUAUCUUCGCCGGCACCUCGCAAGAGGGAGGCUGAUCAGGAGCUCUGUGCUUUCCAACUGUCUUCAGACAACAACUGACAACUUGACCUCAAAUCGAGUAGGACCACCCGCUGAACUUAAGCAUAUCAAUAAGCGGAGGA
rnacentral:misc_RNA from 1 species